GAUGAACGCUGACAGAAUGCUUAACACAUGCAAGUCAACUUGAACUUCGGUUUGGGUGGCGGACGGGUGAGUAACGCGUAAAGAACUUUCCUCACAGAUAGGCAUAACAUUUGGAAACGAAUGCUAAUACCUGAUAUUAUGAUUAUAUGGCAUCGUAUAAUUAUGACGGCUAUAGGCGCUGUGAGAGAGCUUUGCGUACCAUUAGCUAUUUGGAGAGGUAACGGCUCACCAAGGCGAUGAUGGGUAGCCGACCUGGGAGGGUGAUCCGCCACAAGAGGACUGCGACACGACCCUUACGCCUACGGGAGGCAGGAGUGGAGAAUAGUGGACGAAAGACCAAGAGACUGAUCCAGCAAUUCUGUGUGCACGAUGAAGUUUUUCGGAAUGUAAAGUGCUUUAAGUUGGGAAGAAAAAAAUGACGGUACCAACAGAAAAAGUGACGGCUAAAUACGUG
rnacentral:rRNA from 1 species